AUAAAAUAAUUAUAUUUUUGAAAAUUUAUUAUAAAUUUAUUUUACAUAUAAAUUUUAGUAUAUAAUUUUAAUUAUUUAAAUAAUAAUUAAUUUAAAUUUACAAUAAAGUAGUAAUUAAUAUUAAAAAUUUAAGAAAUUAAGAUUUAGUAAUAUAAAAAUUAAUAACUAAUUUUGUGCCAGCAGUUGCGGUUAAACAAAAGUUAAAUUAAAUUAUUUCAGUUUAUAAUAAAUAAAAUAUUUUAUUAAAAUAAAUAUUAAAUUAUUAAGUGAAAUUUUAAUUUAAUUAAAUUUUAUAUAAUUAUUAUGAUUUAAUAAAUUUUAAUAUAAACUAGGAUUAGAUACCCUAUUAUUAAAAAUUUAAUUUAUAAUACUAAAAUAGUAAAUAAUAAUUUAUUGAAACUUAAAUAAUAUGGCGGUAUUUUAGUUCAUUUAGAGGAAUCUGUCUAAUAAUUGAUAAUCCACGAAUAAAUUUACUUAAUUUAUAAUUUUGUAUAUCAUUGUUAAAAAAAUAUUUUUUAGUAAAAAUAAUAUUUAAAUUUUAUUAAAAAAGUUAAAUCAGAUCAAGAUGCAGAAUAUAAUUAAGAAUAUGAUGGAUUACAUUAAAUAUAUUUAAAUGAAUAAUUUUAUUGUAAUAUAAAUUUGAAGGUGGAUUUAAAUGUAAUUUUAAUUAAUUUAUUAAAAUGAUUAAUAAUUAAAAUAUGUACAUAUUGCCCGUCACUUUCAUUUAAAAGUUGAAAUAAGUCGUAACAAAGUAGAGGUACUGGAAAGUGUUUCUAGAAAGA
rnacentral:ncRNA from 3 species